UAAAAUGAAUAUUUGGGCUUCUGAAAGUUAGGGGAGGUGGGGGUUAAUUUAGGCGCAGUUAUAGUUAAUGGGGUGUUUAGGGUUAAUUCAGGGGCAGUUGUAGUUGAUGGGGUCUUCAGGGUUAAUUCAGGGGCAGUUGUGGUUGAUGGGGUGUUUAGGGUUAAUUUAGGGGCAGUUAUGGUUGAUGGGGCCUUCAGGGUUAAUUUAGGGGCAGUUGUGGUUGAUGGGUUCUUCAGGGUUAAUUUAGGGGCAGUUGUGGUUGAUGGGUUCUUCAGGGUUAAUUUAGGGGCAGUUAUGGUUAAUGGGGUUUUUAGGGUUAAUUUAGGGGCAGUUGUGGUUGAUGGGGUCUUCAGGGUUAAUUUAGGGGCAGUCGUGGUUGAUGGGGUCUUCAGGGUUAAUUCAGGGGCAGUUGUGGUUAAUGGGGUUUUUAGGGUUAAUUUAGGGGCAGUUGUGGUUGAUGGGGUCUUGAGGGUUAAUUUAGGGGCAGUUGUGGUUAAUGGGGUCUUCUCUUCAGGGCUAAUUUAAUGCUGAAGACUGAGGGUUAAAUUAAUUAAUUUAAUAAGGUUAACUUAAGGUGCAGUUAGAGGUAAAGGGGGCAAACUGAGGGGAAUCUAAAUCCUGGGGGCAGUGAAGAUUAACCCUGUAUUUAUUCAUAAAAGGAUUGUGUCUGUGAACGAGUCUGCAAAUCUAUGAGUGCACUAUGGCAUAUCAGGGGGGUAUACGGCAUACCUGGGGAGGACGUAGUGACAUAUCUGGGGGUAUAAGGCAUAUAGGGUAUAUAGGGGAUGGUAGAGUGGCAUGUCUGGGAGGCAGUGUGGCAUAUCUGGGGGCAUGUGGCAUAUCUGGGAGGCAGUGUGGCAAGCCUGGGCUCAAAUGUGCAUAACUGGGGGGCAGGUUGGGAAAUAAAAACAAGAAAUGCAUUUUUAUCAAAGUUUUUUUAUUCUGCCGUUUGUUUUUAACAUCCUACGUUGCUUUAUUAAAUUUUUUUAAAUAAAUGAA